GUUCUGCCUGACGCAGCACAGCUGUGAACCCCUCUCCCUCUUUCAGCCACCCUUGCGUUUUUAAGUCAAAAAGGAUUAGGCUCAUCAGACCAACACCGUAGAAGGAAAUUAUAAUGAAGCUUGUACAGUGCAUUAAAGAUCAACAUGGCACGACGGUUACGAGCCAGACUUGGUGGUUGCAUUGACCUACAUUUCAGGUCCAGCUCCAUCAAUUACUAAAUCUGCCAGCUGACCGUGAGUCUCUUAGGUAAAUCGCUCUCUGCAUCGGCUUUCUCCGCUGGAAAAUGGGGAUAAGAAGAACAUGUAUGGAAAUGGAUCUGUAUCUGCCAGAUUCCAAGGCCUGUCUUAGAAGACCGCAGAACCGAGGCCUGAGGAGGCACCAACCAUGAAAGGAGAAACAAUAGGCAUCUCUCAGGCAUCCCUCAGCGAUUCCAGUGCUUUCUCCAUCGUGAAGCAUUGUUACAGAGACGACAGCUCCAUGGCUCCAGGACCCCUUUGAAAGACUGACCGGAUGCUCCUUCUUCCAUGAAGUGGUUGUUCCCUUCUUCCUCUGUGCCCCCCCACUUCCUUGCACAAGGUAAAAAUGUGGAAACCUCUGUAUUUGAAUUCUGUCGCAAGUCUCAGUUCAGAUGCUCCUCCACUUACCGUGGGACUUUGAGAUGGUUUGAUAGUUUGUCCUCUCCAAACCUCAUGCUGAAAUGUGAUUCCCAACGUUGGAGGUGGGCCCUGGUGAGAGAUGUUUGUGUCAUGCAGGUGGAUCCUCAUGGAACCAUCUUCUUGCCAAUGAGUAAGUUCUCCCCGUGUUUGUUAAUGUGAGAGCUGAUUGUGAAAAAGAGCCUGGCACCUCCUUCUCCUUCUCUGGCUCCCUCUCUCAUGAUGUAAUAUGCUGGCUCCCCAUUUACCUUCUGCCAUGAUUGGAAGCUUCCUGAGGCUUCACCAGGAGUAGAUGCUGGUGCCGUGCUUCCUGUGCAGCCUGCAGAACCUUGAGCCAAAACAAACCACUUUUCUGUAUAAAUUGCCCAGUGUCAGGUAUUACUUUAUAUUAAUGUAAAUGGAAAAACACAGGCUAUGUCCCAAUAAACCCAUCUGAAGUUGAAAAUAUCAUCACUUGAAAAUGCACUUAAUACGCCUAACCUAUCAAGUAUCGUAGCUUAAGCUGACUUUCCUUAGAUGUGCUUGGAACAUUUACAUGAGCCUACAGUUGGGCAAAAUCAUCCAACACAAAGCCUAAUUUUUACAUUAAAGUAUUGACUAUCUCAUAUUAUUUAUUAAACACUGUAGCGAAACUGAAACCAAAAUGGUCACCUGGGUACUCACCAUUAACACACGCAGCUGAAAGCACACUGGGCCUGAAAAACGUUUGAAACAGAACUAAAACGCAGGCUGAUGGGAUGCUGCAGCCACAGUGCUGUCAAUCGCUCUCUGCUGAUGAGGCUUGAGAAUGGCUGGGGAGGCACUGGCGUAGCCACACGGGACGGGUUGGCAGGCAUGAUAUUCUUUAAGAAGGUGUCAAGUACCAGUACUUUACCCUCAUGAUUCGGUGGCUGACUGGGAGCUGAAGCUCAGCACUGAGAGAGAGCACAGUGCUACAGCUACAUACCGCUACCCUGGGGAAAGACCAAAAUUCGAAAUCUGAAAUAGGCUUUCUACUAAAUACUUACCUUUUUCACAGCAUCAUAAAAUCAAGCAAUCUAGGUUGAACCACUGCUGCAGAUUUCAGUGUGCACAGGAGUCCUGGAACCAAUUCUCCACUAAUACUGAGGGAAGACUGUAUCUGUUCGGUGGGUAAAUAGUAUUCAACUGAAUUAUUUUCUUCUUGCUUUGCAGAAUGACAAAUACAAUGGAAUGUGUUAUUUGUGCCGUCUGUAGUGGGCACACUUACAUUUUGUGCUAUUAUGCACAACAUACAUUUUUAUGCAUCAGCUAGAGAAUCAAGUUUAAUAAUUUUAAAAAGACUACAAUCAAUGCUGACUUCCACUCAUCUUUUAAAUUUCAGCUUACAAUGUCACUUUUUCAGGAAAACCCCCCUAACCCAAGGUUAGGUUAUGUGGCUUAAUUGCAGUCCUACAAAACCCCGUCUUUGUCCUUUGUGCAUAAUUAAAUUUUUAAUUAAAUAUUUCAAGUCUUUACUUGUCUAAUGCCUAGCUCUAUUCUAGAUAGUAAGCUCCACGAAUGCAGGGUCUCACUCACCAGUGCUUAGCAGAGGGCAAAGUCUUUGCAGGUCAUUUUUAAGCCUUCGUUGAAUGGACAUAGGCAUUCAUGAAUGAAUGGAUGGAUGAGUGAAUGGUAACAACAGAUCUGUAGUAGAAUUUCCGGAAUCACCCUUGGAUAAUUAUUUGGGGAGCAUAACUGCUACAGUUUGAAUGUGUGUCCCUCCGAAAUGCAUGUUAAAACUUAAUGCCUGAUGUAACGGUAUUAAGAGGUAGGGCCUUCAAGAGGUGGUUAAUGAUGAAUCUAUUCAUGGAUUAAUGGGUUAGUUGUUACCAGAGAGUCUGUUAGAGAAGCCAGUUUGGGUCCCUCUCCUGCACACGCUAUUGCCCUGUUAUGGGCAAUGUUGUUGCCUUCCACCAUGUUAUGAUGCAGCCUGAAGCCCUCACUAGAAUGUGCUGCCUGACCUUGGAAUUCCCAGCCUUUAGAACUGAAAGAAAUUAAUGUAUUUUCUUUGUAAAUUACCCAGUCUGUGCAACAGAAAUGAACUAAUACAAUAACUGAUUAUCUUCGCAGAGAGAUGCAAGCAUUCUCGAUCUUUAAACUCCUCUAGUUUUCAGAGUUCCUAAUUAGGAUGAAGAAUUUUGAACUCCUAGCUCAAUUAAUUAAACAGUUCCACAUACGCUUUUCUCUCCUCCCAGAGAAGGAUUAUAGAGUAACACACAGGUGGUGCCUGAGGAAUUCUCUUCUAGUAUCACAUUCCCCAAACCAUAUCCUUCCCACUAAGCCAGCUAAAGUCUUCUAGAAUCUAACAUAUUUUUGCAAGUGCUUCAAGCCUCCCGAGAAUUGACUUAUUGACUUAAUUGGCUCCAUUGACUUAGAAUGACAAACUCAGAAGUCUCACGUCAAUCAGAUUCUAACUGAGUCCCAGGAAGCCUAGGUUCCUGUUCUUCAGAAUACAAAUGAUAAUGACAGCAAUAACACUGCUCUCUCGGGCAUUGGUAAACACUGCUUUUCAUAUUCCAGGUACUGUCUAUUUCUCUCUCCUCUCUCUCUCUCUCUCUCUCUGUGUGUGUGUGUGUGUGUGUGUGUGUGUGAGAGAGAGAGAGAGAGAGAGAGAGAGAGGUCACAUGGUAACAAAUGUCAUGGAGAUAAAUGAGGGUGGCCAGGGAGGUUGUACUGAUAAGUGAAACAGAGAUAGAGACUUGAAGGACCUGGAAGAAGGAACCAUGGAGAUACCCAACUAAAAGAAUUAUGUAAACAGGCCAAGCUGGUCUCCUUGAAACAGCAAUAGGGGGAAUAGGAUGGCUGCCCCCAGAUAGUGCUGGGGGUAUCCCGCUAAAUUCUGCCUUAUCUCCCAAAAGACCAAAUUAAUUCUGCUUCUUCAUCUUUUAGGUUCAUACCCUAGGGGCUGUGGAGAGAGCCCAUCUCCCUGGCUCUAGGGAGGGGAAGGGCAGUGCAGAGCUGUACCUUUGCUGCACAUUGGAAUGUCCUACAAGUAAAACUGUGAUGCUCAGGUUGCACACCCCCCGCCCCAUACUAAUUAAAGCAGAACCUCUGAGGGUGAGACCUAGAAAUCAGUUUUCAAAACCUCUCCAGGAGAAUCCAAAGUCAAGUGGACAUGCUGGAGCCAACAUACACCAGCUCCCAGGGUAGACAAUGUGUACUCUUCCAGGGAUAGAAUAAGGAUACAUCUGGCCUUUAACCUAGUUCCUGAUACAUAGCUUCAAAAACCCUUGGAAUUUCCCGAGUGACAGCCAUGUCUUUUGUUAUUCGUAAUAAGCCCCUUUAGACCAUACCUGGGUUUAUACUAAUAAGGUGACUCCCGACAGUCUCUUAGUUGAGGGGCAAGGAGGCAGAAGGGGGGUAAGAGAGGUAUGGGAGGCAAACCAGAAAGACCUCAAAUGUGACUGGAGAGUUAGAAUUUUCAGCCACAUGCAUGGCCUCUAGUGAGGGGAGAGGAACUGGAAAUUGCAUUAAGUCAAAUGGCCAACGAUAUAAUCAAUCAUGCCUAUGUAAUGACAUCACAUAUAAAAACUCUGGAUACCAAAGUUCAGGGGGACUUUCUGACUGGUGAACGUUAGAUAUAUAGGAAGGGCAGCUCACUUUGCAUGGGAACAGAAGCCCCUGUGCUGGGGUCUUCCUUGACUUUGGGCCAUGUACCCGUGUAUCUGGCUGUUCAUUUGUGUUCUUUAUAGUAAAACAGCAGUCAUCAGUAUAGCAUUUUCCUCAGUUCUAGAAGUCAUCCGCAUAAAUUAUCAAACCUGAGAAGGAAUACAAAGUUUCAAAUUUGUAGUCAGCUGAGCAGAAGUGCAGGUGACUUGGGGAUGUCUGAAAUGUACGUCUGCCUUCUGAAGUGGGGUCAGCCUCUUGAAGAACUUUGCCCUUAACUUAUAGGGUCUGCAUGAACUCCAGGAAAUCAUUGUCAGAACUGAAUCAAAUUUCAAGACACUCAAUCAGUGCUAGAGAAUUGGCUUUGGAAUGUUUUCCAUCUCUGUAUUCAGUAAUCUCAUGGUGGCAGCUUGAAAUCAGCCAGGGGGAGAACAUUUACACCAUGGAAAUUGGCAAAUGCUACAAAUCGAGGCUUCUUGUCCCUCUGCCCCUGAGAACUGGUUAUGAAACAUUUAUCAGCACACUGCUAUUUUAGAACCAGUGGCCUAUGUCAUUAGGUGCUGAUUAGGAAAGACUAGAAAGAUCUCAGGAGGGACAGAGUCUGAACCCACUGAGAACUCUUCCCAUUGCACACCUAUGCAGAGCAGGCUGAGCCCAUUCUGUGAAUGAGGGGAACUCCUUCCUUUCUGAAAUCCCUCCAUUCAUUUCCACUUCCACAUAAGCCAUGUCCAACCUAUGUACUGCACUAACCUGUCAAUAGGUAAAAUUCUUCUUAAGGAAGAAGACAACCUGGACACUUAACAAAUCGGGGGAAGCCAUGCUUCCUUCUUUAUGUUAAUUCCUUGUGUUCAUUUUUCAUGUGCCUCUCUUAUUCCUUUUGAAUUGUUUAAUUUAUUGCAGAUUUUUAGUAAUAGAUAGGUCCUUUUCACACAUUAGCCUCAGGUUGAUUCAAAUCCCUUUCUGAGAACUCACAAGAGAAGUUCCCUUUUCUCAGUCUUCAGGAAAUUCACUUAAAUGUUAUGAGUUUUCUGAGAUAAUUAAUCCACCAGUACAAUUCCCACCUGAAACUCCCUCCUUCCCCUCUAUUCACUCUUCAACUUUUGUUCUAAUUUGCUUAAUGUUUCUGCCUUCCUGACCCAUAAUUCAUGUAAGAGCGUAAACACACGCAUUAUCCCAGGAAACCACUGUGUGGGAAUUCACUGACCCCUUCAAAUCCAUUUUUUCACUCUUCAUUUUAAAAUUGAGGUUCAGCUAUUCCCCUGCUCUUAGAAUUUAGGAUUUAGUUGCAUACUUAGGGGAUAUAGUUG